rnacentral:sRNA from 1 species
UUGCUAUAUGAAUAGCUGAUUGAUUAUCGCAAUAGAAUUCCAUUGCAUAGCUUAUUGGUUGAUGUAGAUUCUUCAUCAAUUGUAUUAGCCAUGUACUUUCUUGAGUUGCCAUUGCUGUUACUCUAUACUUAGCCUCUGAAGUUGACAAAGACACGGCUGGUUGUCUCUUAUUGCACCAUGACACUACAACAAAUCCAAGACUAAACACACACCCAAUUGUCGAUCUUCGUGUAUCGUGACAUCCAGCAUAGUCCACAUCACAACAGCCAACAACCUUGCAAUCUUUAUUUUUCUUAUAAAAUAGUCCAUAAUUAAUUGUUCUUUUUACGUACCUUAAAAUUCAUCGCACUACUUCAGGGUGCAACUUCAUUAGCUUUUCCAUAAAGCGGCUUGCUAUCCCUAUUAUGUAUAUGAUAUUAGGUUGUGUUAGUAUCAAGUAGAUUAGGCUCCUUACCAGCUGUCGAUACAUGGUUGCAUUCUUCAGAUCCUUGCCUUCAUCUGCACAUAGCCUGGAGUUAAUC